UUGAGCGGAGAUAUAUGGAGCUUGCUUUAUAUAACUUAGCGGCGAACGGGUGAGUAACACGUAGAUAAUCUAUCCUAUACUGGGGGAUAGCCCGACGAAAGUUGGAUUAAUACCGCAUAUAGCUAUAUAGUUGCAUGAUUAUGUAGUGAAAGAUUUAUUGGUAUAGGAGGAGUCUGCGGCACAUUAGCUAGUAGGUGAGGUAAAGGCUUACCUAGGCGACGAUGUGUAGCCGGUCUGAGAGGAUGAACGGCCACAAUGGAACUGAGACACGGUCCAUACUCCUACGGGAGGCAGCAGUGGGGAAUAUUGCACAAUGGGGGAAACCCUGAUGCAGCAACGCCGCGUGAGUGAAGAAGGUUUUCGGAUUGUAAAGCUCUGUUAGCAGGGAAGAGGAAGGACGGUACCUGCAGAGGAAGCCACGGCUAACUACGUGCCAGCAGCCGCGGUAAUACGUAGGUGGCAAGCGUUGUUCGGAAUAACUGGGCGUAAAGGAUGCGUAGGCGGUUAAACAAGUUAUAUGUUAAAUAUAUAGGCUUAACCUGUAGAAAGCAUAUAAAACUGUUUAACUAGAGUGCAGGAGAGGUAAGUGGAAUUCCUAGUGUAGCGGUGAAAUGCGUAGAGAUUAGGAAGAACACCAGUGGCGAAGGCGACUUACUGGACUGUAACUGACGCUGAGGCAUGAGAGCAUGGGGAGCAAACAGGAUUAGAUACCCUGGUAGUCCAUGCUGUAAACGAUGGGUACUA
rnacentral:rRNA from 1 species